CCUACGGGAGGCAGCAGUGAGGAAUAUUGGUCAAUGGACGCAAGUCUGAACCAGCCAUGCCGCGUGCAGGAAGACGGCACUAUGAAUUGUAAACUUCUUUUGUCAGAGGGCAAACACAGAUACGCGUAUCUGUCUGAGUGUAUCUUACGAAAAAGCAUCGGUUAACUCCGUGCCAGCAGCCGCGGUAAUACGGAGGAUGCAAGCGUUAUCCGGAUUUAUUGGGUUUAAAGGGUGCGUAGGCGGUCUGUUAAGUUAGAGGUGAAAUCCCGGGGCUCAACCUCGGCACU
rnacentral:rRNA from 1 species